rnacentral:lncRNA from 1 species
UAACAGGAAUGCAAUAUUAUUUUUUAUAAGGUAAGUAUAAGUAACAAUGAAUAGUAUACAUCUAAUUUUUUAAUACUCCAUAUACAAUCAACAUGUUUUGAUCAACAGUGUAAACCAUAUAAAAGAAAAUCUUGCUUUCCAUUUGUACAAAUAUUACUUUCAUCAUAGCAAAACUUUACAAUGUUAAAACGUACCAUAUAGAGAGGCUAUAAAAAGUAUUGCUUGUUUCAAAACGAAGUUAUUGGCGUCUAAUCAGUUACAUCAUCACCUCUAAUAUCAGUCACCAGAUCCAUAGCAUGUCUUUGUUUCCAAGAGUUUAUAUUAUACAGCAAGAUUACUCUGUAGCCAAAUUAAGUCAAAAGGGUUUCUUUUUUUAAAAAAAUAAAUAAGUAAACGCACCUAAAAAUGUGUAGUUUUAUCUACCAGGUGCUAGGGUGGGGAUUUUUAGUACUUCUGCUGGCAAUUCAGAUAGGAAUGUAUAAUCUCGGAGGGCAUAUUGUGCUUGUGGAAGAGAAAAUAGUACUAAUUGCUUCAGUUUUUAUCCCAGAUGUAAUAUAUAAAAAAAAUAUAAGACGUGUUUCUUAAAGCAAGCAUCCUCUCGUUGGCUCUGGUUUUUACAGACGCCAUCCACCUACUCAUGCGAUCUCCUUGCCGGCUCCCUCUGUGGCUAACUGCUUCCCUUCUCCCUGGGCAAUAAAGGAUGCACAGCGGCUCCAGGCAGGGCAGCCAGCUGGUUGCACAAGCAGCAAGGAUGCUCACGAUCAGUCCACUUUCAAUGGAAGACAUGGAAAAAAGGGGUCUGUUCUGUAUUUCCUUUUGGCCCUCUCCCCUCUAGUGCUUGGGCACGUGCCCUGGACCCUCCCCGUCCAACCAGGCCCAGGUUCCUGACGCUCAGCGAGUGAUGCUGGGUUUUUUAAAAAAUUAAUUAAUUUAAUUAAUUUAUUUUUGGCUGUGUUGGGUCUUCGUUGCUGCGCACAGGCUUUCUCUAGUUGUGGCGAGCAGGGGCUACUCUUCGUUGUGGUGCAGAGGUUUCUCGUUGCGGUGGCUUCUCUUGUUGCCCAGCAGGAGGCUGUAGGCUCACAGGCUCAGUAGUCGUGGCUCGUGGGCUCUAGAGCGCAGGCUCAGUAGUUGUGGCGCACGGGCUUAGGUGCUCCGCAGUAUGUGGGAUCUUCCCAGACCAGGGCUAUGAACCCAUGCCCCCUGCAUUGGCAGGUGGAUUCUUAACCACUGCACCACCAGGGAAGUCCGAUGCUGGGGUGUUUGUGCUUGGGACUUCUCUCAAUCCUCAGGUGUCUACAACUGCAGAAUCUGCCUGCACGUCCACACACCUGUGGCUAAUCCCUAGGCAGGUGGUUCACAGCCUUGGCUGAACAUCAGAAUGAUUUUAGGAGUUUUACAAAGUCUGAAUCCUGGGUUUUGCUGGCCUGAGGCACGGCUGGGCCUCAAGAUUUUCAAGAGCUCCCCCUUCGAUUUCACUGUGCAGCCGGCGUUGAGAACCCCAUCCCUAGCGUGCGGGAACGGCUUAGUUUGGAAGACCGUUGGUGGCAUUCGUCAAACAUGCUAAACAUUAUUAGGGCUCUGCUGGUAUCUCUAGUCUAUAUUGUAAUUGCAUAUCAAUUGUAAAUACAAAAAUAAAAUACUUUGCAUCAAAGUCAGAUUGGGAUAGAGAAACCAACGAAGUGCUCCGCUCUUGUUUUUCUCACAUUUACAGGGUCCCGUUGGCAGACGGGUGGAGUACGGCAUGCAGCUGAAGUUGUGUAUUAGUUGUGACAGUGAUUCUUUCCCACUGAUUUGCCCCAGAGUCAAAUGAACCUGCUUCAGACCAAGAAACUAAAUGUGCUUUCCACCUUUUUCUCACUUUAUAGAUAUGAAAAAGAGUCUCCUCUUCAUCAGGACAACGACCUAGCCUAGCUCUGCAGUGAUGUGCCUUUUUAUGAGAGAGAAGAGAAUUUCCUCUUGUUUCAGUCAAACCCCUUUAAACACAAAUUUCCGUUUCAAAUUUUGAUUCUCUUGCAGUCUUUCUAAAGUAACGUAUUUCUUUUAGUAGAAAAGUGAGUUUUCCUAUAAAUAUACCUUACGAAGUUCAGUGCUGAAAAAGUUACAAAAAUAGGCUAACAUUUAAAAAUCUUGUUGGAAUGUGUCUUUAAUAGAAAACUGAAAUACAAAGAAGAAAAAAGCUGAAUAGUUCUCGCUGUUUUAUUAUGUUAAAGUAUUUCAAAUUACAAAAAUACUAGGGUUUUACUGCUACAGUUGGACCAGCACCCUGUGGUCCUCCCUCACCAUCUGUUUCCUGACAAGUAAGUGACAGCAGAAUGUGAAUGGUUCUGUUUCUCAGGGCUGGAUAGAUAGUGGGCUAAAGUAUUUAUGUUCUGAGGUGAAUAAAUAAUGAAAGUGGUUUACUGACAAGGACAUAAAAUUUCAGAUUCUUAAGAGGUGUUGUUUAAUCUUCCCUCAAAUCAUUUUCAAAUCCCCCGUGGGGACGGACCCGAAGGGCCCUCGGGGAAUGUAACUCCCAGGCCGGAAGGGGCAGUGGGCCUGUAGACCGGCUGCACGAGUGGUUCCUGCAGCAAAUGCUUCCGUGGUUGAGGCUCCCUCUGCUGGGAAUGCACUUUCCAUUUUCCAGUGGCUGACGCCCUGGGGGGGUCUUUUAACCCAACUCCACCACGGCUCCUCCAGGACCCGGUCCCCCUUACUCCCUGCUUUGUGCUGUCACAGUGCUGGGCUGACAUGUCACGUCUGGCAUGUGUCAUGUCGUUUUAAGGCUGGCGUUUGUGAGUCAGUUUUCUUCGCU